AACGAACGCUGGCGGCAUGCCUAACACAUGCAAGUCGAACGAGACCUUCGGGUCUAGUGGCGCACGGGUUCGUAACGCGUGGGAACCUGCCCUUAGGUUCGGAAUAACUCCCCGAAAGGGGUGCUAAUACCGGAUAAUGUCUUCGGACCAAAGAUUUAUCGCCUUUGGAUGGGCCCGCGUUGGAUUAGCUAGUUGGUAGGGUAAAAGCCUACCAAGGCGGCGAUCCAUAGCUGGUCUGGAAGGAUGAUCAGCCACACUGGGACUGAGACACGGCCCAGACCCCCCGGGGAGGGAGGAGGGGGGAAAAUGGAACGACGGGGGAAAGCCGGACGCACCAGGGCCGGGGGAGUGUGGAAGGCUUGAGGGUUGUAAGGGUCUUUUACCGGGGAUGAAAUGACCGUACCCGGGAAAAAAGCCCCGGCUAACCCCGGG
rnacentral:rRNA from 1 species